rnacentral:rRNA from 1 species
GGCGAGUGAAGCGGCAACAGCUCAAAUUUGAAAUCUGGCCCCCAGGGCCCGAGUUGUAAUUUGCAGAGGAUGCUUUUGGCGCGGUGCCUUCCGAGUUCCCUGGAACGGGACGCCAUAGAGGGUGAGAGCCCCGUCUGGUCGGACGCCUAGCCUGUGUAAAGCUCCUUCGACGAGUCGAGUAGUUUGGGAAUGCUGCUCUAAAUGGGAGGUAUAUGUCUUCUAAAGCUAAAUACCGGCCAGAGACCGAUAGCGCACAAGUAGAGUGAUCGAAAGAUGAAAAGCACUUUGAAAAGAGGGUUAAAUAGUACGUGAAAUUGUUGAAAGGGAAGCGCUUGUGACCAGACUUGGGCCCGGUGGAUCAUCCAGCGUUCUCGCUGGUGCACUCCGCCGGGUUCAGGCCAGCAUCAGUUCGCCGCGGGGGAAAAAGGCUUCGGGAACGUGGCUCCUACGGGAGUGUUAUAGCCCGUUGCAUAAUACCCUGGGGCGGACUGAGGUUCGCGCUCCGCAAGG